rnacentral:rRNA from 1 species
CUACGGGUGGCAGCAGUGGGGAAUAUUGCACAAUGGGCGCAAGCCUGAUGCAGCCAUGCCGCGUGUGUGAAGAAGGCCUUCGGGUUGUAAAGCACUUUCAGCGGGGAGGAAGGCGGUGAGGUUAAUAACCUCAUCGAUUGACGUUACCCGCAGAAGAAGCACCGGCUAACUCCGUGCCAGCAGCCGCGGUAAUACGGAGGGUGCAAGCGUUAAUCGGAAUUACUGGGCGUAAAGCGCACGCAGGCGGUCUGUCAAGUCGGAUGUGAAAUCCCCGGGCUCAACCUGGGAACUGCAUUCGAAACUGGCAGGCUAGAGUCUUGUAGAGGGGGGUAGAAUUCCAGGUGUAGCGGUGAAAUGCGUAGAGAUCUGGAGGAAUACCGGUGGCGGAGGCGGCCCCCUGGACAAAGACUGACGCUCAGGUGCGAAAGCGUGGGGAGCAAACAGGAUUAGAUACCCGUGUAGUC